AUUGAACGCUGGCGGCAGGCCUAACACAUGCAAGUCGAGCGGAUGAAGGGAGCUAGCUCCUGGAUUCAGCGGCGGACGGGUGAGUAAUGCCUAGGAAUCUGCCUGGUAGUGGGGGAUAACGUCCGGAAACGGGCGCUAAUACCGCAUACGUCCUGAGGGAGAAAGUGGGGGAUCUUCGGACCUCACGCUAUCAGAUGAGCCUAGGUCGGAUUAGCUAGUUGGUGGGGUAAAGGCCUACCAAGGCGACGAUCCGUAACUGGUCUGAGAGGAUGAUCAGUCACACUGGAACUGAGACACGGUCCAGACUCCUACGGGAGGCAGCAGUGGGGAAUAUUGGACAAUGGGCGAAAGCCUGAUCCAGCCAUGCCGCGUGUGUGAAGAAGGUCUUCGGAUUGUAAAGCACUUUAAGUUGGGGGGAAGGGCAGUAAGUUAAUACCUUGCUGUUUUGACGUUACCAACAGAAUAAGCACCGGCUAACUUCGUG
rnacentral:rRNA from 1 species